AGGUUACUGCUAUCGAGGUUCGACUAAGCCAUGCGAGUCGAAUGUAGCAACACAUGGCGAACUGCUCAGUAACACGUGGACAACCUGCCCUUAGGACGGGGAUAAACCCGGGAAACUGGGUAUAAUACCCGAUAGGUCUCGAUUGCUGGAAUGCAUCGAGAUUUAAAGCUCCGGCGCCUAAGGAUGGGUCUGCGGCCUAUCAGGUAGUAGUGGGUGUAGCGUACCUACUAGCCUACGACGGGUACGGGUUGUGAGAGCAAGAGCCCGGAGAUGGAUUCUGAGACACGAAUCCAGGCCCUACGGGGUGCAGCAGGCGCGAAAACUUUACAAUGCUGGCAACAGCGAUAAGGGAACCUCGAGUGCCAGGUUACAAAUCUGGCUGUCGAGAUGCCUAAAAAGCAUUUCAUAGCAAGGGCCGGGCAAGACCGGUGCCAGCCGCCGCGGUAACACCGGCGGCUCGAGUGGUAACCGUUAUUAUUGGGUCUAACGGGUCUGUAGCCGGCCGGAUAAGUCUCUUGAGAAAUCUGGCAGCUUAACUGUCAGGCUUUCAGGAGAUACUGUCUGGCUCGAGGCCGGGAGAGGUGAGAGGUACUUCAGGGGUAGGGGUGAAAUCCUGUAAUCCCGGUGGGACCACCUAUGGCGAAGGCAUCUCACCAGAACGGGUCCGACAGUGAGGGACGAAAGCUGGGGGAGCAAACCGGAUUAGAUACCCGGGUAGUCCCAGCUGUAAACUAUGUGCGUUAGGUGUGUCAGUGACCACGUGUCACUGAGGUGCCGAAGGGAAACCGUGAAACGCACCGCCUGGGGAGUACGGUCGCAAGGCUGAAACUUAAAGGAAUUGGCGGGGGAGCACCACAACGGGUGGAGCCUGCGGUUUAAUCGGACUCAACGCCGGGAAUCUCACCGGAUAAGACAGCUGAAUGAUAGUCGGGAUGAAGACUCUACUUGACUAGCUGAGAGGAGGUGCAUGGCCGUCGUCAGUUCGUACUGUGAAGCAUCCUGUUUAGUCAGGCAACGAGCGAGACCCACGAGAGCAGUUGCCAGCUUGACCUUUGGGUUGAUGGGGACACUGCUCGGACCGCCUCUGCUAAAGGGGAGGAAGGACUGGGCAACGGUAGGUCAGCAUGCCCCGAAUUAUCCGGGCUACACGCGGGCUACAAUGGACAGGACAAUGGGUUUCGACACCGAGAGGUGAGGAUAAUCUCCUAAACCUGUCCCAAGUUCGGAUUGCGGGUUGUAACUCACCCGCAUGAAGCUGGAAUCCGUAGUAAUCGCGUUUCAACAUACCGCGGUGAAUAUGUCCCUGCUCCU
rnacentral:rRNA from 1 species